AAACACUCCAAAUUUUUUUAAUAGUCUUAUUCAAGUUUCCAAACACUCUAAUUUUGUACUUGAGUUUUAAUAAUAUAGAUGCUAAUUUUGCUUACGUGGCGGCUUGUGAAUCAAUUGAGAAUUUUGUUAUUUCAAAAUUAAAUUGCUAAAAAAUAUUAUAUUACUAUAUCCAUUAUGGAACAUUCAUUUAUGAAAUCAAAUUUUUUUAUAUAUUCUUUCCUUAAAUAAAACAUAUGGAAUUACCUAAUGUGAUUAAGAUAUAUAUGAUAAUUAAUGAUUUUAAAUAAUAAAGAUUUCCUAACAAUCUAUAUACUUUCUAUCAAUUUUUUAAUUUUUUAUUAUUAAAAUAAAUUACACAAUUACAUUAAUCAUAUAAUAAAAAAUUAUAUAUUUUUGUAUAUGUUGUAUUUUGAAUUUUUUAAAACGAGUAUAAAUUACUAAAACUGUUAAAAGACUUACAUAAAAUUUUGUGAUCAAAGUUUAAAUUUAUUCUAUAAUAAGAUACAAUCAUUAUAAAAUCAUAUGAAUAAAUAAUUUUAUUUUAAUAGGUGUUUAUGUUAAUAUAUAUAUAUAUAUAUUUAUUUCAUAUCGUUUAAAUUAAACUAUACAUCAUAUUAUAGUCUGAUAUUUGUAUUGAACACAUAUUGAAAAAUUAAUAUUUUAAUUUUGAAAUCUUCAUUAUUUUUUCAAUGAUUAUAAUUAUUGAAACCACUAAACAUUCCACAUUAAAAAAAAUUCGGGUGUAAAAUUUGUUACACAAAUAUGCAAAUAAUCAUAAAAUCAUAUGAGUAGAUGCCUCAUUUAAUAAAUAUUCAUAUUAAAAAAUAUCAUUCAAAUUUAACUAUAUAUCACAUAUGAUAUAUGAGAUUGAUUGUUUUGAUUUAUUUAUCCUAAAAUAAUUGCGAAUAAACAAGAGCGAUCGUUUGAUUUAUAUGUGCACACCAAUUUAUUACAUAAUAAUAACUGAUUUCUUAGUUAUUUAAUAUAUAAUUACUAUUUUAUUAUAUCAUAUUAUGCGGAAAAACAUAUAAAAGUAAUAAAUAUAAAAUAUUUAUUAUGCACAAGGUGCGGUUCUUAACCUAAAUAUGUAUCUCUUUAAUAAUUUUAAAUUUUAAAUAUUUUCUAAAUCUUAGGCCAAAACAAAAGAACAAAAUGAGAAUAAACUUAAAAAUCAAUAUAUUUUUUUUGACAUCAAAAAUUAAUAUUUAUAUAGAGUAAUAACCAAAAUGAAAAAGUCACACAAAAAAGAGAAAAAUAUUGAAGAUAGAUAGAAUUGACAUUUGAACGUAAACUUCUCAUAACCAUAAAUGACUUUUAAAUUGCUAAAUCAUGAUAUACAACCGAGUUAGCAUAGUUUCAUUGUAACCAAAUAAUAGGUGUAAGAUUAUUCGGCCUAAACGUUAAGUUUUUAUGCAUAAGUGAUUUUUUGACCCAAAAUAUUUUUAAAAAUGAGAUCAGCUCAUCAAACAACAAAUUAUAUAAUUAACAAAAAAAUUAAAAAAAUCGUUUAAGGGCCAAAAAUAUUAAUUCGAUCAAGAAUAUAAAUUUAUUUUUUCAUACGAUAUUUUUUAUAUAAUUUUCAUAAAAAUUCACCAUGCGCAAGGCUCAAGCCUUAUCCUAGUUAAUAGUUAUCACCAUAUUAAAAAAAAAUCUUUCAAAAAAUAUAUAGAACUUGAUAAGAAAAAAUGUACAUGUCAUAAUUAAAUUGGUAUCAUGUCACAAUUUUCCAAAGUCAUGUCAUCAUUUUUUCUUAGAGUAAUUGUAAUAAUAAUAACACAUGUACUAAUCACUUGGUAUAUAAUGUAUAGGGGAUGCAAUUUAUGGUAAGAGGACAAUAGAGUUAUUUGAUGUUCUAUUUUAGCAUUUUUUUUUUGAACAUCACAUAGUUGAAUCUAGGCCUAGGCAUUUUGGAUAUCGGUUCGGUUCGGUUUGGAUAUUUCGGGUAUCGGGUAGUUCGAGUAAAGAGCUAGAUAAUCCUUUUACUACAUGACCUAUUGUUGGUUCGGUUUGGUUUGGAUAGUUUCAGAUUCAGUUCAGAUAGUAAAACUUAGAAACAUAAAAUAUCCGGAAAAUUUUGUUUCUCAUUUGCUUAUGGUUCCUGUUCGGUUAUUUCGGGCAAUUCAAGUAAAAUAUUGAGUAUUUUGAGUAUAAUAUAGAAUAAUUUAGAUGAUUCGGAUAAAAAUCUUGGAUAUUUUGGAUAUUUCAGAUAAAACCAUCCAGAUAUUUUCAGAUAAUUUCGGAUAGUUUGGAUACUUUAUAAUAAUUUAUUUAUUUUAAAAAUAUUUUUGAAUAGUCUUGAAAGAUUUUUAAAUUAUAAAUAUAUAUUUAGCUAUGUUUUAUUAAUGUUAGAUUAGAUAUAGAAAUAUAGGGACCAUUUAAAGUUUCGGUUCGAUUAUGGUUUCCAAUAUUUCGGUUCGAUUCCGGUUUUUAUAAGUUGCAUCCAUCUAAACUAUUAAAACAGGAGUACAAAUUAGUAAUAGCCCUGACUUUUCCUAAAGAAUUACCAUCCUAUGCCAUUGAAAAUAACUUUAAAAUAAACUUCAUAAGAUAUUCCUUAAAAAUCGCCAAUCAAUUAAUUAUGCAUUUAGUAAUUUGUUUCCAUAUUCUGCGCCACAUAUUUCAACAAUACCUAAUAUAUUGAUUAUCAUAUAUUUUCAAAUAUUCGAUUUAGUUUAAAAAUUGAAGGCAGAGGAUAUUUUCACUCAAUAAUUCAUUGGCUUGGGAAGACAAACCCUAUGACAUCGAUCAAGGAUGUUGAUUCUCACUGCAAGAGUCCUAUCAGCAAAGGCCUUGUAUGUGUGGCUGAUAUCAAGUUCCCUCUGCCGUACAUGCCAAAAUCUUUCUCUCAUAUGCUCUGGAUUAUCUCCCACACAACCUAAACAAGACCAUGCCUGAAUUUGCUAGAGUUGCUUCAGAUGGUGUAGUUCUUUUUGCAGGUCUCCUGGUCAAGCAAAAUAGUAAAGUUGCUGAAUUUUCUAAAUUCGGGCGUCCAGCUAAAAUGUGUAGCACAUCAUGGUGGGACCGAUUCUAUAACCAGACAAGCUUAGAAGGAAGACGCACCAAGCAAGAAGUUUGAACAAGCCUGCCAAGUCUUACACCUCAAGCAAGCCAUUGCAUUAGUCAGCCACCACUAAUCCAAACUAAAGCAUAUUCACACGUAAGGAAUUAAAUAGAUAAUUGUUAUUCUCCUUUGUAUUUUGCAACAAAGUCUUUGUCCAUGUAUCUAUGAACACCAUUUUUCAUAUUGAAUUUAAAUCAUUAGCAUCACCAGUAA